rnacentral:rRNA from 1 species
UACAGAGGUCUCAAGCGUUGUUCGGAUUCAUUGGGGCGUAAAAGGGGUGCGUAGGCGGCGCGGUAAGUCGGGGUGUGAAAUCUCGGGGCUUAACUCCGAAACUGCAUUCGAUACUGCCGUGCUUGAGGACUGGGAGAGGAGACUGGAAAUUUACGGUGUAGCGGUGAAAAUGCGUAGAUAUCGUAAGGAAGACCGUGGCGAAGGCGGGUCUCU